ensembl:lncRNA
AGGCAGGUGCUAUUGCACAGUAAUGCUCACCCAUAUUCAGUGUUACAGGCUUUCCCAAAAGCUAUGUUUAAUUAUAGAUUUCCUGUAUUGAGCUCAAAGCUGGUGAUAACAAUAGCGAAGUAGCCCAAAAGAGCAUAGAAAGGCAUUAGGCAAAGCUGUAGAUCAGACUAGCAAGUGUCUAAAUACUCUCUUUCAAUGAGACCACUUCAAGCGAGACCAAUGAAUUUUGUAGGACAGCUUUGGUAGCUUGCAAACAAGAAUGUAACUUUAAGAUCCUUCUAGUGGGAAAUGCUGUAAUGGGUUACUGUGUACUACUGAAAAAUAUCUUAGGGUUUAAUAUAGGCUUCCUAUGAGUGAAACAAGAGUGUUGAGACUAACAAGUGUUCAAAUAAGUGUGCCUGUGUUUUGAACUAACCCUUAGAUCUUUUAAUACAUGAACAGAAUAAUGCUAAAGGAAAAGAACUACAACAAAAACCUGGGCACCGCAGUAAAGCUGAUCUGUCUCUAACCUCCAAAUGUCUUUAAUUGUCUAACAUCUUGGUUGAAUUAGAUUCUUGAAGGUAAAAUUAUUCUGAAAGAAAACUAGCUAUAAAUAAAUCAAUCGUUGCUCACUAGAAGUUAGGCUGAGAGGGCUACUUUAGGCAGUUUAACUGCUUUCAUAGAGUGUUGCUUUUGCUUGAGAUGUAACUACUCGACACCUGCAGUAAGUGCCUUGACACCAAAGGACUUGCCUGGCCUAAGACGCCUGACAUGCACGCAGUGUUAUCACUCGGCUUUCCCCGUUGGGAGGGGAUAGGUAUUUUCUCGUCCAACCUUAUAGAUUGGGGCUUAAUCUGAACUGCAAGCCAUCACUUGUACCCAAACUGAGUAUCUUUCUGAAUCCUGAAAAACACCCAAACUUGCGUCAGCAUGUAAACUUCUGGAUACGUUUGUUGGCAAAACACCUCCUCGAACCACCCAAAUUGUCAUAUCUUCUGCCAGACAAGUUUCAUGCUGCUUGUGGGCAAAUCAGCUGUGUUAUCAAGCAAGAUGAUUGUUCCCUUCUCAGGCAAACCAAGGCACAACUACUUUCAGUUAGUUACUUCAAUUCUUUUACCCAAAUAGAGAGCAUGAUGAUUUCAACUUCUGUCACAUAAACCCUUUUACUAAGUAAUCAUUCAAAACUGUGAAGGUGCAUAGCCCAGUGCACAGACCCGCAAACUGGAUACAAGUAGUGCUAUAACAACGGAAGUUGAACUUCCUUGGCUUUUAAUUCUGAAGCACAGAAGUUGUCCUUCAUGUAGCCUAGAGCUGCAAACUUCUGUGGUGGUCUACAGGUUAGGUUUUAUACAGCUUUUUGUCUCAAAUCUAACUUAUUGUUUCAAGUCUCUAGAGUGACCAAAUAUUUGAGAAAAAAUCAUCACUUGAAAGGUAACUUUUCAGCUGGAGCAUCUGUAUAAAUGCAGGGGGGGCUGGAUAUUCAGACUACUUACAUGCUUUCAAAUACUCAGGACUUUUUUUUUUUCCUCCACUACAACUGUAGCUUUAUCCUGUUUUUUGUUUCUCAAGCCUUAGUAUUGCCUGUCAGUAUCCUUCAGACUCUGUUUUGUCUUUACAAACAAAACCAAAGUUGUUUUCAUGCUCUCAAGUGUUUUCUUUCUGAGCUAAACUGGAGUUACAUGGUGUUUUCCUUCAGAUAAUUCUAGCAACUUAGACAUGUUCUUUGUUUAAACUUAAUUUUGGUAGCUGUGUGGAGGCUAACGGGAAAAUACAUUGAUUGCUGCACAUUAAACCCUCAACAGUUCUAUCCAAUCUAGGUCAAUGUGUCAAGUUUCUACUUGAGUUGAGUUUCAGUGCAAGUAAUGGAGUAUGUGCUUCUUAAUAGAAAAAAAACCAAACUUUGUUCUGGGUACAGAUGUGUAGCUGUCUUUUCUUCAAGUGAUCUUAAGCCAUAACAAGACAAUUUUCUUUUGGCAUGAUUUAAUUUUGCCUAAUAACUAAUAUGAAAGUUGACAGAAUUGAUACAGACUAUUCAGUAUGUGUGACCAGAAUGUUUUACCCAAUUGACACUUGCUCUCUGCACACACCUGUAAAGCACUUUGUAACUACACUCAAUAACUUACAUGCUCCCUGUCAGAGAACCAUACUAUAGUCUGAAAUCUGUCAUAGGUAAUGUGUUGUAUUAAAACUGAAACUCAGAAUGAAAUCAGUCAGUCCUUACUUAGCCACAACAGUGGUUCAGGCAGACACCUGCCUUCACUCCUGCUUUUGAUAAAGAACUGAAGACCUGUUCAGCACAAGCACAUAGUUGAAGGAAGAACAGGACCCAACAGUUGCUGCCACUGCUGUUGUUAGAGCUCCUCUGCUGUCUGUUUCCAUGAAGAAUUAAUUCUGAGUACUUUUUCACAGCCUUGGAAUGAACAGUGCUAAUUCUUAUCCUUGGUGAUUAAAACAACACUAUGAAGGAACCUUGAUUCCCAACUAAGUGAUUUUAAAACUAAAUGGUCUUCCUGGAAAUGCCAUUUCAGAUGCUAUUUGACCAUGGCUGUAUCUGUACCUUGUUACUGAAGGCAUUUGGGUUAAAUGAAAGGACUUUACUGGUACAGAGUUGGGUUUAGGUAAAAUGUGAUGAUUUUUAUUUUUAAAAAUCAUUAUUAUCAAAGCAGAGCUGUGAACUUUAAUGGUUGCAUCAGGUAAAGUAGAUACUAUACAGGGAGAAAUACAGUUUCAGAAUUUUAUUACAUUAUCCUAAACCAAAAACCAUUUGAUACCACUUCAGCAUAAGUGAGUACAGCCAGUAUGUGCUUACCCAGCAUCAGCCCAUUGAAUUGGGCUGCUUCAUUUUGCAGAAUAAAGUUGUAACAGGGACACAGACAUGCAAAACACCCCCAGAGCAGGUCUAGUAACACCUUUUCAAUCACAUUAAAUUUAAGACUGAUUCUACAACUAAACACAAUAUUUCAUCAUAAUGAAACAGGUAUUGUUUAUUGUGAUUCAGUUUAAUUUGUAUCACUCUCUCUGUAUGUGAGCAUACUUUGCUGUAGCAUGUUGAGAGCAUACUUAACUUCUGCUGUUUUGAACGUUUGUUUAGAAAGUGCCCUUCCAGAGGACCCUGUUCACUGCUGCACUUUUGGGGAAAGAAAAAAAUAAACUGCCUAUCAAACU